CUAUCGGGACAACAGUGUAUGGUGUCAAUAUCACUCUUGUGGCUAACGGAACUCUUCAGACAUUAUAUUACAACCAGUCCGCGUAUCCCGUAGGAGAAAGCGGACAAAGAAGCAUUAUCCUCAUACGGACUGAAGAUUCAGAUAAUUCCUUUGUGGAGGUCUCAGUUAACGCUGACGCCAACCUAGCCCAGCAGGUCUGCAAGGAUGGCAAUAUUCGUUUUUAUUCUGGGGAUAACCCGACAAAUGAGCUGUAUUUGGGGUCUUUUUGUGGAUCGCCAACGAAGAAACAAACGCCGGUCUUUGU